UCCCGUGUGGUCUAGCGGUCAGGAUUCCUGGCUCUCAUCCAGGCGGCCCGGGUUGGACUCCAGGCAUUGGAA
rnacentral:tRNA from 13 species